UACGGAAGGCAGCAGUGGGGAAUAUUGCACAAUGGGCGAAAGCCUGAUGCAGCUAUGCCGCGUGUAUGAAGAAGGCCUUAGGGUUGUAAAGUACUUUCAUCGGGGAGGAAAAACAAAACUAAUAAUUUUAUUUCUUGACGUUACCCGAAAAAGAAGCACCGGCUAACUCCGUGCCAGCAGCCGCGGUAAUACGGAGGGUGCUAGCGUUAAUCAGAAUUACUGGGCGUAAAGAGCACGUAGGUGGUUUUUUUAAGUUCAGAUGUGAAAUCCCUGGGCUUAACCUAGGAACUGCAUUUUGAAACUGAAAUACUAGAGUAUCGUAGAGGGAGGUAGAAUUCUAGGUGUAGCGGUGAAAUGCGUAGAUAUCUGGAGGAAUACCUGUGGCGAAAGCGGCCUCCUAAACGAAUACUGACACUGAGGUGCGAAAGCUGGGGAGCAAACAGGGAUUAGAUACCCGU
rnacentral:rRNA from 1 species